rnacentral:tRNA from 1 species
GCCAGUGUGGCAUAGUGGUUUGAGCAUUAGACUAUGACUCUGGAGAUCAGGGUUCGAUUCCCAGCUUGAACA